rnacentral:misc_RNA from 1 species
ACAAAAGAAUUCCUUAAUCUCUCUAUGAAGGAUUAAGAUCACUGACUUGAGCUGGCCCAUCAAAAGGCCAUCCACUUCACCCUUUUUCUCGUUGCAGGUCUACGUUGUCAUUUGAGUCAAGACCAAAAAGAUUACCAGUAGCAUUAGUGGCGUUGUCUGUGGAAAACGAACCCAUUACCACAUGCUGACUAAUGAUACCACCUUCCCAGAAUAAAGUCAAAAAGUCAAAAGAUAUUUCCAGCAUGGAUAGUCAAAGUAAAUACUUCCAAUGUGGCAAGCCCAAACAUAGAUUUAACGAGCCAAGCAAGAAGAAAGGACCAAACGAUUAUUUUGUUCGACCAAAAAAGCGAACAAAACCCUUACCGAGCAAACACUCGCAGUACCAGAUACAACCCGGAUUUCACGGACAGGGUGAUAAUUCCACAUAUAAUCCAGUAAAAGCUAAUAUCACGAAGAUCCAUGAAUAUUUAACCAAGAU